UACGUAGGAGGCAAGCGUUGUCCGGAAUUACUGGGCGUAAAGCGCGUGUAGGCGGCCCGGUAAGUCCGCUGUGAAAGUCGGGGGCUCAACCCUCGAAUGCCGGUGGAUACUGUCGGGCUAGAGUACGGAAGAGGCGAGUGGAAUUCCUGGUGGUAGCGGUGAAAUGCGUAGAGAUCCGGAAGAACACCAAAGGCGAAGGCAGUGUCCUGGGAGUACC
rnacentral:rRNA from 1 species